rnacentral:tRNA from 1 species
GGGGGUAUAGCUCAGAUGGAUAGAGCAACGGCCUUCUAAGCCGUAGGUCUCAGGUUCGAACCCUGAUACCCUCACCA